UGUUGAGGAAGAUAAUGACGGUACUCAACAAGGAAGUGACGGCUAACUACGUGCCAGCAGCCGCGGUAAAACGUAGGUCACAAGCGUUGUCCGGAAUUACUGGGUGUAAAGGGAGCGCAGGCGGGAGAACAAGUUGGAAGUGAAAUCCAUGGGCUCAACCCAUGAACUGCUUUCAAAACUGUUUUUCUUGAGUAGUGCAGAGGUAGGCGGAAUUCCCGGUGUAGCGGUGGAAUGCGUAGAUAUCGGGAGGAACACCAGUGGCGAAGGCGGCCUACUGGGCACCAACUGACGCUGAGGCUCGAAAGUGUGGGUAGCAAACAGGAUUAGAUACCCUGGUAGUCCACACCGUAAACGAUGAUUACUAGGUGUUGGAGGAUUGACCCCUUCAGUGCCGCAGUUAACACAAUAAGUAAUCCACCUGGGGAGUACGACCGCAAGGUUGAAACUCAAAGGAAUUGACGGGGGCCCGCACAAGCAGUGGAGUAUGUGGUUUAAUUCGACGCAACGCGAAGAACCUUACCAAGUCUUGACAUCCCUUGACGAACAUAGAAAUAUGUUUUCUCUUCGGARCAAGGAGACAGGUGGUGCAUGGUUGUCGUCAGCUCGUGUCGUGAGAUGUUGGGUUAAGUCCCGCAACGAGCGCAACCCUUAUGGUCAGUUACUACGCAAGAGGACUCUGGCCAGACUGC
rnacentral:rRNA from 1 species